CUGGGUGCCAGGUCCAGAUAGGAUUAACCCUUUUUUUUUUUUAUAAACAUAGCAGUUUCAGAGAAACUGCUAUGUUUACACUGAGGGUUAAUCUAGCCUCUAAAGCCUCUAGUGGCUGUCUCAUUGACAGCCGCUAGAGGCGCUUGCGUGCUUCUCACUGUGAAAAUCACAGUGAGAAGACGCCAGCGUCCAUAGGAAAGCAUUAUGAAUGCU